UGUGGCAGUAAAUCGGGGCGAGUGGGGAACCCGGCGCAGGAACUGCCGCUGCGGCCGGGAGCGGUGCUUCCCGGACGGGGGCCCACGGCGGUCGGUAGGGCGGCGGACUGGAGAGCUGACAGCGCGCUGCACUCGCAGUAGGGACCGGGAAGAGAACUCGUGGAAGCUGGAACCCCACAGGUCACCAGUCAAGAUGAAGGCGGCAGAUGAGCCUGCCUACCUGACAGUGGGAACUGACGUCAGUGCCAAGUACCGAGGAGCCUUCUGUGAGGCGAAGAUCAAGACUGUGAAAAGGCUGGUGAAAGUCAAGGUGUUGUUGAAACAGGAUAACACAACACAGUUGGUGCAAGAUGACCAAGUAAAGGGUCCCUUAAGAGUCGGAGCUAUUGUUGAAACAAGGACAUCUGAUGGAUCCUUCCAGGAAGCUAUUAUCAGCAAGUUGACAGAUGCUAGUUGGUAUACCGUGGUGUUUGAUGACGGGGAUGAGAGAACGCUGCGCCGCACCUCACUUUGCCUGAAAGGGGAGAGACACUUUGCUGAGAGUGAGACGCUUGACCAGCUUCCUUUAACAAAUCCAGAGCACUUUGGAACACCAGUUAUUGCAAAGAAGGCAAACAGAGGGAGGAGGUCGUCACUUCCUAUCACUGAAGACGAAAAGGAAGAAGAAAGCAGUGAAGAGGAGGAUGAGGAUGAGCGGCGUCUCAGUGAUGGCUUACUGGGAAAGGUGGUGCGUGUGACCACUGCAGCGGAGAGGCCGGAGUGGUACCCUGCUUUGGUCAUCUCUCCCAGCUGCAAUGAUGAUGUCACAGUGAAAAAGGACCAGUGUUUAGUUCGAUCAUUUAUUGAUUCUAAAUUUUACUCCAUAGCAAGAAAGGACAUUAAGGAACUAGACAUUCUCAAUCUGCCGGAAUCUGAGCUCUGUGCUAAACCAGGGCUGCAGAGAGCAAGUAUCUUCUUAAAAGCUAGAAUCGUUCCUGAUAAUUGGAAAAUGGACAUAAGUGAGAUUCUUGAGUCAUCCAGCAGUGAUGAUGAGGAAGACUGCCCAGCUGAGGAGAACGAAGAGGAGAAGGAAAAAGAAGCCAAGAAGGAGGAAGAAGAACUGCCUGAGGAAGAACCUGAUCCUGAAGAGAGGGACAACUUCCUGCAGCAGCUUUAUAAGUUUAUGGAAGACAGAGGUACUCCAAUCAACAAACCUCCUGUUCUGGGCUACAAAGACCUCAAUCUCUUCAAGCUCUUUAGACUGGUCUACCACCAGGGGGGAUGUGACAAUAUUGACAGUGGUGCUGUAUGGAAGCAAAUUUAUAUGGACCUUGGCAUUCCAAUUUUGAACUCAGCUGCUUCCUACAAUGUAAAAACUGCUUAUAGAAAAUAUCUCUAUGGUUUUGAGGAGUACUGCCGUUCUGCAAAUAUUCAGUUCAGAACUAUUCACCACCAUGAACCCAAAGUAAAAGUUGAGAAAAAAGACUUUGAAGAAUCCAUGGAAGAGGCUCUAAACGCGAACCAGGAGAUGCCUUUGAUGGAGGUGAAGAGUGAGCCCGAGGAGAACACCGAAUCCAGCAGUGAGAGCGACAGAGAGGACACAGAGCAGAAGUCUCCAAGAGGGCGAAGGAAAAUUGUUCGAGAUGCAAAUGCUAUUAAAAAAGAAAUAGAAGAAGAGAAAAUAGAAGAUAAAUUCAUCAAAGAUGAUACAGAAAAUAAGGAUGUCGAUGAAGACUAUGAAACAGCAGAGAAAAAAGAAAAUGAGCUGCUACUCGGGAGAAAAAGUACACCAAAGCACAAAGAGAAGAAACUUAAAAGGCCAGAGGCUUCUGAGAAAGACUCAGAUGAAGAGGAAGAGCCAAGCCAAGAGAGGGAAGACACUGAGAGCAAAUGCGACUCGGAAGGGGAGGAUGAUGACGAUGACACAGAACCCUGCCUGACGGGAACCAAAGUGAAAGUGAAGUAUGGACGAGGAAAAACGCAGAAAAUUUAUGAAGCCAGCAUUAAAAGCACCGAGAUCGAUGACGGGGAGGUUUUAUACUUGGUGCAUUAUUAUGGAUGGAAUGUCAGGUACGAUGAAUGGGUAAAGGCCGACAGGAUAAUCUGGCCCGUGGACAAAGGUGGACCAAAGAAAAAACAAAAGAAGAAAGUUAAGAAUAAAGAGGAUGGUGAAAAGGACGAAAAGAGGGAUGAAGAGAGGCAGAAGUCAAAACGAGGGAGACCUCCUUUAAAAUCCACGCCCUACAGUUUAUCUAAGGCGGCCAACAGCGAAGGGAAAUCAGACUCUUGUUCAUCUGAUAGUGAAACAGAAGACCCUUUGGAGAAGAGCUUGAUAAGUGAAGAACUUUCUCCUGAUAUUAAAGAAGAAUUAGAAAAAAGUGAAAAUUUGAAUGAUGAUAAACUAGAUGAAGAAAAUCCAAAGAUUAUACAUCUAUUAAAAGAAAAUGACAGGACUCAGAUGCAGCCCUCAGAGACCCUGAAGGUGGAGGUCGAAGACAAUGAUCAAGUAGUUCAUAUUUUUGGAAACAAAGUGGAACAAAUAGAAGAAGCUAAGAAACAGGUGGAAAAGUCCCCUAAAGGAAAGGGAAGGCGGAGUAAGACGAAAGACCUUUCUUUAGACAUUGUAAAGCUCUCGUCAUUCAACCAGGAAGAAGCAGGCCCUGAAGCUCCUGCAGACACUCCUGGCCUGGAGUUUUCGUCACUAGAAUGUAAAAACUUCUCUUCUCCGGAAGAUGAGGUUGACCAAUAUGAAAAAGAGAAAAAGUUGAAACGGAAACUACUGGGACAGCCAUCUCCAGAGAAAAAAGUAAGGCUUGAGAAUGGGAUGGAAGCAGCAGCUGGCCUGUCCCAAGACAGAGCCAGCGAUGGUGCUGGAACUGAGGGCCGGAGAGGCUUGCAUUUUGAACAGCACUUUGAAACAGGAAGUGAAGGAAUGCCAUCACUGAUAGCAGAGCCAGACCAGGGCACUCAGGAGCUGACCAGUGAGAAAUCAGACAGCCCAGCUGAAGAACCUGUGCAUACGCCACUCAAGGAGGAGGAGGACGUGAUGCCUCUGAUUGGGCCCGAAACCUUGGUUUGCCAUGAGGUGGACUUGGACGACUUGGAUGAGAAGGAAAAGAGCGGUACUGAGGAUGUGGUAGUGGAAAGCUCUGAGUCUAACGCUCUGGUCUCCGUCCCGCCUGCCCUGCCUCCUGUAGCACAGCAUAACUUUUCAGUAGCUUCCCCUCUCGCUCUCAGUCAGGACGAGUCCCGGAGUGUAAAGAGCGAGAGCGAUAUAACAAUUGAAGUUGAUAGUAUUGCCGAAGAAUCGCAAGAAGGCCUCUGUGAGAGGGGAUCAGCAAACGGGUUUGAAGCCAGCGGUGCCCCUGGUACCUGUAGUUUAAUUGUCCAAGAGAGAGAGAGCAGAGAGAAGGGUCAGAAGAGGCCAAGCGAUGGAAAUAGUGGGUUGAUGGCAAAAAAACAGAAGCGAACCCCAAAGCGAACAAGUGCUACAGCCAAAAGCGAGAAGAACGGAGCAGGACAAAGCAGUGACAGUGAAGAUCUCCCCACCAUAGACAGUUCCAGCAAAUGCACGCCAGUCAAGCAUCUCAGCCUGUCUAAGCCGCAGAAGCUGCCUCGCUCCCCUGCAAGGAUCUCGCCUCACAUCAAAGAUGGAGAGAAAGAGAAGCACAGAGAAAAGCACCCAAAUUCAUCCCCCCGGACAUAUAAGUGGAGCUUCCAACUCAACGAAUUAGAUAAUAUGAACAGUACAGAGAGAAUCUCUUUUCUCCAAGAAAAACUACAGGAAAUCAGAAAAUACUACAUGUCUUUGAAGUCUGAAGUUGCAACCAUAGACAGGAGGAGGAAAAGAUUAAAAAAGAAAGACAGAGAAGUGUCCCAUGCAGGAGCGUCUAUGUCAUCUGCUUCGUCAGACACUGGAAUGAGUCCCUCUUCAUCAUCUCCCCCGCAAAACGUCCUUGCUGUUGAGUGCAGGUGAUGAAAGUUUCCCCAUCUUCCAGCAGUUUGCUGCCAUGGACUGAAAUUACAACACUCUGAACUCCAACCACAGAGAGCACUCAGCUGGCGAAGGACCUCCUGUAUAUUUUCCAGGAUUGUCUGUAUCCUCCUCUCUUCUUUUUUACUGUUGCAAAAAAUAAGCUUAUUAAUAAUUGAAGGUUAGGUGACCUGCCAUAUUGGUCAUAUUUUUUCCUCUAUAUUUUCUUUUUCUUUCUUUCUUUUUUUUUGGUGAUAGAGAAAAAGGGCACUUAGCAAAUUUGAAUUUGUAUGAUAAAGCUUUCAGGUGUUCUAGAAAUCCUAGACAAGCGAGUGCACGUGAUAAACAUCAGACCAUACCUGGCUGGACAGUGACCGCUGCACUUUCACUGUGUGUGAACAUGAACACUUGGAGAUCGUAUCUGCAGCCACAUGCGCUGCAGGGAAUCCGUGUCAGCCCUUCCAACAGAACAGCUGUCCGUUGGCAUCUGGAUCGUCAGCGUGUCCUUGUAUAGAGACUUGGCAGUCCUAGUAUCUGAACUGUCUGGAGGAUCAGAUUCUUGGUUGCCCUUCAGAUGCUUUGUCACAGCUUUUUGUUUGCUAUACUGCCGAAUAAAUGACACCUCCCACAGUCGAGAUGCACCCAUCACGCUGAGCCACUGUGUGCGCCCUAUCUGUGGCGUGUUCCACAGGCCUGCGCAUGCGUAAAUAAUUCUUCCAGAAUCAUGUAUUUAAAGCAGUUUUGCAUAUACGUUAUGUAAAAGAUGUGAUUUUUUUAAAAACAAUUUUUAAACUCAUGUCUGUACAUGAAAAGGAGUUGUUUUGGAGCCGCCUUUUCUGUGGUUCAUGUGCUGUAGCGUGAAGGCCUGGGUGCUCCAGACCGUGGCAGACAGGCACAACACACUUGCCAUGGCAGCGCAGAGCCUCACUGAAAUCAUUGUCUCAACCUCAUCUGCCACAUUGUGAACUUGUUAUUCAGAUUUCUUCCACUUUCUCAGAGAAUUAAAACAAAAAAGUACUCUUGUAAUAUGAACUUUCCUGUCUUUUAUUUGCAAAGCAGAAGUAUUUCAAUGUAAAAUAAAAACGGAGCCCAGUGGGCGUUUCUUAAA